GUANNNNNNAAGCGUUGUCCGGAUUUACUGGGCGUAAAGAGCGCGCAGGCGGUCGGAUUAGUCGCGUGUGAAAGCCCCCGGCUCAACUGGGGAGGGUCACGCGAUACUGUUCGACUCGAAGGCAGGAGAGGGAAGUGGAAUUCCCGGUGUAGUGGUGAAAUGCGUAGAUAUCGGGAGGAACACCAGUGGCGAAGGCGACUUCCUGGCCUGUUCUUGACGCUGAGGCGCGAAAGCUAGGGUAGCAAACGGGAUUAGAUACCCCGGUAGUCCUAGCCGUAAACGAUGGACACUAGGUGUUGGUGGUAUCAACCCCGCCAGUGCCGAAGCUAACGCAUUAAGUGUCCCGCCUGGGGAGUACGGCCGCAAGGCUA
rnacentral:rRNA from 1 species